CCCUUAGACGUUCUGGGCCGCACGCGCGCUACACUGACCAGUGCAACAAGCAUCCGUCCUUGGCCGACAGGCCCGGGCAAUCUUUGAACGCUGGUCGUGAUGGGGAUAGACUUUUGCAAUUUUUGGUCUUCAACGAGGAAUUCCUAGUAAACGCAAGUCAUCAACUUGCAUUGAUUACGUCCCUGCCCUUUGUACACACCGCCCGUCGCACCUACCGAUUGAGUGGUCCGGUGAAGCCUCCGGAUUGGCGCGCACCUCGGUGCCGCCGAGAAGUUGGCUAAACCUUACCAUUUAGAGGAAGGUGAANUCGUAACA
rnacentral:rRNA from 1 species